rnacentral:rRNA from 1 species
UCCUACGGGGGGCAGCAGUAGGGAAUUUUCGGCAAUGGGGGGAACCCUGACCGAGCAACGCCGCGUGAACGAAGAAGUUAUUCGUAAUGUAAAGUUCUUUUAUCAGGGAAGAAAGAGGAAUUUGACGGUACCUGAGGAAUAAGCUCCGGCUAACUACGUGCCAGCAGCCGCGGUAAUACGUAGGGAGCGAGCGUUAUCCGGAAUUAUUGGGCGUAAAGGGUGCGUAGGCGGCACGGCAAGCCUGAUGUGAAAGCCCGCGGCCCAACCGCGGGACUGCAUUGGGAACUACCGGGCUGGAGUGCCGG